AGCUGAUCUAUCCUUUUUGGCCCAGCAUAUCCCAUCAUGCAGUGCGGGCCAAUGAAGACACAAUUCAUUUCGCAGUCAAUUGACCAUGGAGACGGGUAUGCCAGCAGCGGGUGAUACAAAGAAAUGCACCAUGAAAUAGAGCCAGGAACGAACCGCUCUUUCUAUUAAGCUAAGGGGGAAGAACGAUGGCCUCUUCACCGGGGCCUAACAUUCUGGUGCCGCAGCUUGGAAGAUUGCAGGUAUCCAUGGUCAGGAGAGGGUGUGAGUGGGGAAACACACUGCUGCAAAUUGGCCAUGGAUUGUCCACAUGGAUGAGGUGACAAAGGCCUCCCACCCUGUCCUAAUUGCCUCCAUCCUUAUGGACAUACCGGAGCGCCCUGAACACCAGGGUCACCAUUGUGGCACCCCAUCCAUGU
ensembl:lncRNA